UAUACAUGCAAGUCGAGCGAAUGGAUUAAGAGCUUGCUCUUAUGAAGUUAGCGGCGGACGGGUGAGUAACACGUGGGUAACCUGCCCAUAAGACUGGGAUAACUCCGGGAAACCGGGGCUAAUACCGGAUAACAUUUUGAACCGCAUGGUUCGAAAUUGAAAGGCGGCUUCGGCUGUCACUUAUGGAUGGACCCGCGUCGCAUUAGCUAGUUGGUGAGGUAACGGCUCACCAAGGCAACGAUGCGUAGCCGACCUGAGAGGGUGAUCGGCCACACUGGGACUGAGACACGGCCCAGACUCCUACGGGAGGCAGCAGUAGGGAAUCUUCCGCAAUGGACGAAAGUCUGACGGAGCAACGCCGCGUGAGUGAUGAAGGCUUUCGGGUCGUAAAACUCUGUUGUUAGGGAAGAACAAGUGCUAGUUGAAUAAGCUGGCACCUUGACGGUACCUAACCAGAAAGCCACGGCUAACUACGUGCCAGCAGCCGCGGUAAUACGUAGGUGGCAAGCGUUAUCCGGAAUUAUUGGGCGUAAAGCGCGCGCAGGUGGUUUCUUAAGUCUGAUGUGAAAGCCCACGGCUCAACCGUGGAGGGUCAUUGGAAACUGGGAGACUUGAGUGCAGAAGAGGAAAGUGGAAUUCCAUGUGUAGCGGUGAAAUGCGUAGAGAUAUGGAGGAACACCAGUGGCGAAGGCGACUUUCUGGUCUGUAACUGACACUGAGGCGCGAAAGCGUGGGGAGCAAACAGGAUUAGAUCCCUUUGUUU
rnacentral:rRNA from 1 species